rnacentral:rRNA from 1 species
CCUACGGGAGGCAGCAGUGAGGAAUAUUGGUCAAUGGACGAGAGUCUGAACCAGCCAAGUAGCGUGAAGGAUGACUGCCCUAUGGGUUGUAAACUUCUUUUAUAUGGGAAUAAAACGUUCCACGUGUGGGAUUUUGUAUGUACCAUAUGAAUAAGGAUCGGCUAACUCCGUGCCAGCAGCCGCGGUAAUACGGAGGAUCCGAGCGUUAUCCGGAUUUAUUGGGUUUAAAGGGAGCGUAGGUGGAUUGUUAAGUCAGUUGUGAAAGUUUGCGGCUCAACCGUAAAAUUGCAGUUGAAACUGGCAGUCUUGAGUACAGUAGAGGUGGGCGGAAUUCGUGGUGUAGCGGUGAAAUGCUUAGAUAUCACGAAGAACUCCGAUUGCGAAGGCAGUUCACUGGACUGCAACUGAUACUGAGGCUCGAAAGUGUGGGUAUCAAACAGGAUUAGAUACCCCGGUAGUC